AGUCGUCAGUCGAAACCAAAGGAUAACACAUCGUUAGGCGGCUCCUCUUUGGCUAAAUAAACAAACAAGUGCGCCACCAUCAAUGGCAGGGCAUAAAAUAAAUGUAAUAAAAGAUAAAUACAAAUGCACCACUGCUCAACAAGUGUUGUAAACGCCCACCGAGCAGCGCCAAUAAUCCAAUCGAAGGAAGUCAGAAGGCAGGACCUCUUCUGCCAUGAAAAUCCCUCUUGAUGACCAAACACGUGCCCCUCGCCAAAAGGUCCAGUCCCAGGAGGUCCUGCGUGUGUGCCCAAGUGCCAAGUGGCGAAGGUCACUGCCCAGCCAAUUUCUGGGUUAAUUUCGUGAAAAAUGAAAAAUUAAUUGAGAAAUAAUGUUGACAGGCGCUGACCAACACGACCACCACCACCACCGUUAGGGGGAUAGAAAAAGGACCGGAUCCGUAGACCCCCUGCCUGCAGUGUCAAUGGGCUGUCUAAUCCCUAUUGCACUUUGCCGCUCCGGCAAACAGGCACUCAAUCGUCUUGAGGACACGUGCUGCUCCCGUCUUGCUCCUGACCAAUGGUCAAAAGUUAAGUCGCCGCCAAGGCAAUGUCGGCCAUUUUGACCAGCUGACAAGCUGGGAAACAGCCCAGAGGUCAGCCAUCAUCAUUAUCACGCUUAUAAGCCGGGUUACCCCAACUACCCAAGACUGCUUGAACUGCUUGCGCCGGCGGCCACGCCCCCUCUGCCCCACCUACCGCCUAGCGCCCACAUCACCUACGAGGGGAGAAGCUUGAGCACUUUUUUAUUUACAAAAGCGAAUGGCAAACAAGGAAUAGCUGAGGGGAAACGAGUAAGAACACACACAAAAUGUAAUCCCAACGAAAAGUAAAUUGUAUUUCAGAGCAGACUUGUUGAUGUACGUGUGUGAGUAAGCGAGCGUGUGUAUGUAAUACCCUACAGAAGCGGCAUAUCACUUUUGAUAUCAAGUACAGAAAAUGAAUUGUCUACUUUGUGAAAUUGUACAUUUUUUACUCUAUAUCAAAUCACAUUUUCAUAUUUUAUCACAUUACCUAAAACGUACUGUUUAUUUCGUAUAGGGUAAUUUAUAGGGCAUGAUUUGACAAGUCUAGGACUUUGUUGCUCACCCAAAGCCACUGAAAAUCUUCUGUGGUCGCAGGGAAUGGGAAAUACCUAAAACUAAGUCCUCAUCACGGAUAUGAGCAAGACAAUGACAAGGAACGACUGAAUUAGAUGGGAAUUACUUCUAAGCGAAGACAGCGACAACAACAACAUCUAUAAGUGGUUACCAAGCAAUCUCUAGGUUUAGAUUUUCCAGGGCAAUAAACUGCAAUCCAGUCAAAUACAAAAAAGUAUAAGCUAUGUAUUUUCAAACUUUUCAAACACACGGAAUAGGCAAAAACAAUGUAAAUAUGUAAUGUACCUAUUAAAUUAAAAAACUAAUAUGCCACUAGUUUGGGUUAACAGUUGCACAAGACAUACAGAUUUUUAUCGGUGCACCCACAUUUGAAAAAUGUAAACUAUACUUUUGUAAAAAAAAAAAGCUUAUUAUUCAAAAUUAUAUCAUUGUUUUAACCAUAACUUUGUUAAUAUGUAAUCGAAUUUUUAAUGCCACGGCUCUUUUUUAUCGUGGCUUCAUUUCCUAUCCAGUGGCAUUCGCAGCUAACAAAUUUUAAAUUUGACCAUUUUUCAAAAAAAUUUGUCAUAAAAAUCUCAAAAAAUUGAAAAAAAAUUAAAAUUUUCAAGUUUCAAAAAAAGUGAUAGGGAUUGUUAGCCGAGGUCGCAAGCUGCACAGAACUGUAUGAUUUUCAGUGGUGCCACUUAUUUUGACGAAAAUACAGUCAAAAAACCAACAC
ensembl:ncRNA lncRNA:CR32730 long non-coding RNA:CR32730